CCUACGGGAGGCUGCAGUGAGGAAUAUUGGUCAAUGGGCGCGAGCCUGAACCAGCCAAGUAGCGUGAAGGAUGACUGCCCUACGGGUUGUAAACUUCUUUUAUAAAGGAAUAAAGUGAGGCACGUGUGCCUUUUUGUAUGUACUUUAUGAAUAAGGAUCGGCUAACUCCGUGCCAGCAGCCGCGGUAAUACGGAGGAUCCGAGCGUUAUCCGGAUUUAUUGGGUUUAAAGGGAGCGUAGAUGGGUUGUUAAGUCAGUUGUGAAAGUUUGCGGCUCAACCGUAAAAUUGCAAUUGAUACUGGCAGUCUUGAGUACAGUUGAGGUAGGCGGAAUUCGUGGUGUAGCGGUGAAAUGCUUAGAUAUCACGAAGAACUCCGAUUGCGAAGGCAGCUUGCUGGGUCGAUACUGACAUUGAGGCACGAACGCGUGGGGAGCAAACAGGAUUAGAUACCCCUGUAGUC
rnacentral:rRNA from 1 species